UAAGGUGGUUAUAGCAACGGGGCUCACCUCUUCCCAUUCCGAACAGAGCAGUUAAGCCCGUUAGCGCCGAUGGUACUACAUAUUGUGGAAGAGUAGGUCGCCGCCUUCU
rnacentral:rRNA from 1 species